UACGGAGGGCGCAAGCGUUGCUCGGAAUCACUGGGCGUAAAGCGCGCGCAGGCGGCCGAGUAAGUCGGUUGUGAAAGCCCCAGGCUCAACCCGGGAACGGCACUCGAAACUGAUCGGCUUGAGUCCCGGAGAGGGGGGCGGAACUCCCAGUGUAGGGGUGAAAUGCGUAGAUAUUGGGAAGAACACCGGCGGCGAAAGCGGCCUCCUGGACGGGGACUGACGCUGAGACGCGAAAGCGUGGGGAGCAAACAGG
rnacentral:rRNA from 1 species